AUGCCGCCUUCCUCUCAGGAUCGGCUCCGUUCCGGGCCCGCGACAACCUCCCUCGACGCCUCAGCUCCCCGGGCGGCUUUCCGGGCUCUCUCGGGCGGGGCACUCCGCAUACGGGGGCCUGGGAACCCGGCCGAAGGUGGAGACGGCGGUCUAGAAGUCCAUGAAGGAUCUGCUGUUGUUACUGAAAGACAUCUGGUGCCUCAGGAAGGCCUUCUUCAUCUUGCCCUGGAAGGCGUUCCCCACCGCUCGGCGGAAACUGGCGCACAGAAAGAAGUAGAUCACCGGGUCGAGGCAGCUGUUGAGGGCCGAGAUGCAGAGCAUGAGCUCGUUGGCCAGGUGCAGCUUCUGCUUCCAAGGUUGGCUGGAGAUGACGUUCACCUGGGCCAGGAUGUAGGGCACCCGGACCACGUGGUAAGGGGUGAAGCACAGGAUGAAGAUGAUCAGCACCACCAGGGUCUUGGUGAUGGCCGGCCCGUUGGUCCGCCCGCUCUGGGGCUGCACCUCCCCCCGGGAGACUUGCCGGAGCUUGUCGGAGAUCCUGCUGGAGAAGAAGAGGAAGAAGAGGAGCAGGACGUAGAAGAUGACCACCACCGCCAUGUUCAGGGCGGCCCCGGUCACGUUUUUACUCCUGAAGUGGAAACACCUGGCCCCGCAGUCGCCGGUGACCUUUUCGAAAAAGAAGGGGACGGUGAAGAGGAUCGUGGCGGCCCAGACGGAGCAGACGGCCAAGGUGCUCCACCGCACGGUGUGGAUCCUGAACUGCUGGUAGGGCCGGGUGAUCUUCAGGAACCGGUCCAGGCUGAUCAGGGCCAGGAAGGCGAUGCUGACGUACAUGUUGAGGUAGAAGAAGAUCCCGACCAGGAGGCAGAGGGUCCGGGGACCCUCCCGGUUCUGGUAGGCCACCCGGAAGGGCAGGCAGAGGGACAGCAGGAGGUCGGCCACGGCCAGGUUCUUCAUGUACACCGCCAUGGAGUUCUUCCGCGAGGCGGUGCAGCAGAAGGUCCAGAGGGCCAGGGCGUUGCUCAGCAGGCUGAGGACGAAGAUGAACGAGUACGCCACCGGGAGAAUCACUUGGAGAAUACUGUCCUCGAUGGUGCAGUUGGACCCGAGAGAAGGCACGGGUGCACUCAGGCAGAGAGACCCCUUUCGGAUUCUGGCCAGAUUUCACAUCUCCUACACAUCUGGAACACCUGGUCUAAAGAGGGGUAGGUAAGUUUUUCACACGAUGUAUUUUAGGAAGGUGCCUGUUAUCUAACAUGUACCCUGUAGGAUAGGAAGAAGGCUAAGGGGUGAGAAUAACCGCGUCGAAGUGUGCGAUGGGUUGUAUGGGAAAGUCAGCCAGCCACCAGUAUUUAUUGAGCACCUACUGAUGAGCACUAAAAGUGGAAGAUACGAUCCCUGUCCUUGCGCUGUUUACAGAGUAAUGGGGAAGACAAGACAGACACAGAUUUUAUACAUAAAAUGGGGAGAAAAGGAAAAACAUAGCCUCGGUCAGUUACAAAAGUAAGCAAACAAUGACUAAAAGUGGAGUAAUGAAUCAAUAUCCCCAUAGGUGACGAAGGCUGUCGAUGGAAUGAGAUGAUCGGGACACUGGGGAUUUAGUUAGGGAAAGAGAGCUUUUUUUAAAGAGGGAUUUGAGAGAAGAAGUACAUCAUUUGGGUAAGGGAAAGGCCAUAAGCAUCGGAUUGGAGAUGGGAGACUCAAAAACAAGGUAAUAAUAAUAUUGAUGAUGGCAUUUGUUAAGCGCUUUCUAUGUGCAAAGCACUGUUCUAAGCACUGGGGAGGAUACAAGGUGAUCAGGUUGUCCCAUGUGGGGCUCAAAGUCCUCAUCCCCAUUUUACAGAUGAGGUCCCUGAGGCCCAAAGAAGUUAAGUGACUUGCCCAAAGUCACACAGCUGACAAGUGGUGGAGCUGCGAUUUGAACCCAUGACCUCUGACUCCCAAGCCCGGGCUCUUUCCGCUGAGCCACGCUGCUUCUCAGGUACAGUUAAGAAGCUCAAUUUAGGGGAGGGAAGAGUGCAAGCUGGAGUGUAGUGAGAGAAGAGAGUAGAAGAAUAGAAAGGACAAUGGCUGGAGAAGGUUGAAUUCAGAGGUUGGGGAUUUUGAUUUGAGGAGGGAGGAAAGAGUGCAAGCUGGAAUGUAGUGAGAGAAGAGAGAAGAAAAAUAAGAAGGGUCAGCCGCUGGACAAAUCCUGAAUCCAACGGCUGGGGAUUUGGAUUUGAUAUGAGUAAAAAAAAAAAAAAUGUUGGUAUUUGUUAAGCGCUUACUAUGUGCAGAGCACCGUUCUAAGCGCUAGGGUAGACACAGGGGAAUCAGGUUGUCCCACGUGGGGCUCACAUUCUUAAUCCUCAUUUUACAGAUGAGGUAACUGAGGCACAGAGAAGUGAAGUGACUUGCCCACAGUCACACAGCUAACAAGUGGCAGAGACGGGAUUCAAAUCCAUGACCUCUGACUCCAAAGCCCAUGCUCAUUCCACUGAGCCACGCUGCUUCUCUAAGUAAAGCCGUAGGUAGUCAGUGGAAGCUUUUAAGAAGGGGAGUGACAGAUUCUGGACGGUUUGUUAUUAAGAAGAGGAUCUGGGCAGCAGAAUGCAGGAGGAACUGAAGAGGGUAAAGUCAGGGAAACCAAUGAAGAGGCUGAAGCAUUAGUCCAGGUAGGAAGCGAUGAGAAUUUGGUCCAGAGAAGUAAGCCAUAAGGGUGGGGAAGAAAAGGCAGAACUGGGAAAUAUUGUGGAAGUACGUGAGAAGUGAAAAUCAAAGAUGACGCCAAGGUUGUGCGCUUCUGGGAGGGCGGUAGUGCGGGGUUGACCGUGGUGGGAAAGUUGGGAAGAGGAGAAGGAAGAGGUUUAGAGAAGUAGGUGAGGAGUGUGACCUCGUUAUGGGCACGGCACGUGUCCGCUCGUUCUGAUGUACUGUACUCUCCUGAACGCUUAGUACAGUGCCUGGCACGUAAAAAGUGCUCAAUAAAUACCACUGAUUGAUUGAUCGAGUCCAUUUUUUGACAUCCCAAAGAAGAUUGGAUGCAAGGAAGAACUGGUUUCCGAAGGUGAGAAAACACCAGAACUGACUAGCAAGGGAGGUUAUGGUCUUCGUCGUCAAAGAUUUUUAAGGGAAAAAAUAAACAUCGUGGCAUCUUGUUGAGCACGUAUUAUGUGCCCAGCACUGUUUUAAACACUCGGGCAGAUACACGUUAAGGUGGAUUUGAGGGAAAGGUAUGAGGAACGGGUUGGAGUUGGAGAGUCACAGUGAGUCCAACGAACCUGAAAGCAGAAGCUGGAGAUCAGCUGAAAGUUGCUUUCCCAGCAAAUCUUCCUCGCUGAAUUUGGAUGCGGUCUUUUUCUAUCCAUGAAAACUUGCAGAAUUGGGCCUUAGAGUUUGUAAAUAAUAUGGUUAGGAGCAGGAAGGAAGAGAAUAAAAAUGUAUUCGUUGACUCGUUCGUAGAGUGAAUGAAAACCCUUGAGUCUCCAUUUAACACAGGGAAGAGGAAGAACAAACCGUUUCGACUUCCGCAUUCCUCUGUCAGGAAACACACGAAACCAAAGAUGAUCUAUUUUAGCUGGAGCUUUAUGUGGUGAACAAAGAAAACCUAAGUGAAUGUAAAUCUGCCUUGCCAGGUGGCCUAAGAAGACAGUAUAGGCUGUGCGGUAGCUGACGAGUUUUCUCGCUGCUAGAGAUGUUAACAAGACAUAAUAAUCGUGGAAUCUGUUAAAUGCUUACUGUGUGACAGAUAUAAUACUAAGCUUGGGGUAGAUACGAGAUCAUCAGAGGAGACACAGGCCCUAUCCCAAUUGAGGCUCACUAAGUACCCCAGCUCUUAGGACAGGGCCUGGCACAGAGUAAGUGCUUAAGAGAUACAAGUUAAAAAGGUAGGAGGGAGAACGAGAACAGGGACUGAAUCUCUGUUUUACAGUUGAGGAAACUGAGCCACAGAGAAGAUGUUCUUCCCCUUGAUUCUAUUUAUUGCCACUGUUCUUGUCUGUCUGUCUCCCCCGAUUAGACUGUAAGCCCGUCGUUGGGCAGGAACUGUCUCUGUUACCGAUUUGCACAUUCCAAGCGCUUAGUACAGUGCUCUGCACAUAGUAAGCGCUCAAUACAUACUAUUGAAUGAAUGAAGGAAGGAAGGAAUGAAUAACUGAUUUGCCCACGGUCACACAGUAGGCAAGUGGAAGAGAAUUCAGAUUAGAACCCUGCUUAUUAUUAUACCGUACUCUCCCAAGCGCUUAGUACAGUGCUCUGUACUCAGUAAGUGCUCAAUACAUGGACUCUCAGGCCCAUGUUCUUUCCACUAGGCCACACAGUUUCCCCAAACAUGCUGCUUCAAGCGAUGGUAUUUAUUGAGUGCCUAUUAGCCGUUGCAUUCGGGAGAUCUUACCUUAGCGGGGUGAGGGGAAGAGCUGGAGGUAGGGGUGUCGGAUUUGCCAAGGGCUAAUUAGCAAUGGAAAGUACAGAAUCCUACUGGCAUUGUAAUCCCCCCCUUUCAUUCAUUCAUUCAAUCGUAUUUAUGGAGCGCUUACUAUGUGCAGAGCACUGUAUUAAGCGCUUGGAAUGUACAAUUUGGCAACAGAUAGAGCCAAUCCCUGCCCACUAAUGGGCUCAUGGUCUAAAUGGGGGCAAAACAGAACAAAACAAAACAAGUAGACUGGCGCAGAUAUCAUCAAGAUCGAUAGAAUCAAAGAUAAUAAUAAUAAUGUUGGUAUUUGUUAAGCGCUUACCAUGUGCAGAGCACUGUUCUAAGCGCUGGGGGAGAUACUGGGUAAUCAGGUUGUCCCACGUGAGGCUCACGGUUAAUCCCCAUUUUACAGAUGAGGUAACUGAGGCACAGAGAAGUGAAGUGACUCGCCCACAGUCACACAGCUGACAAGUGGCAGAGGAGGGAGUCGAACUCAUGACCUCUGACUCCGAAGCCCAGGCUCUUUCCACUGAGCCACGCGUUAACAAAAUCAAUAGAGUAAUAAAUAAUAUAUACAAAUAUGCACGGUGCUGAGGGGAGGGG
rnacentral:lncRNA from 1 species